CAAUAGCGUAUAUUAAAGUUGUUGCGGCUAAAAAGCUCGUAGUUGGAUUUCUGCCGGAAACAGCCGGUCCGUACUAUGUGCGUGUAUCUGGUUUGGUUUUGGCAUCCUCCCGGAAUACGUUGCUGCGCUUGGUUGCGUGGCACGGAGUUCGGGACUUUUACUUUGAGGAAAUUAGAGUGUUCACGGCAGGCAGUCGCCUUGAAUAUAUUAGCAUGGAAUAAUACCAUAGGAUCUUGGUCCUAUUUUGUUGGUUUCUAGGGCUAAGAUAAUGAUUAAUAGGGACAAUUGGGGGCAUUCGUAUUAACGCGUUAGAGGUGAAAUUCUAUGAUUGCGUUACGACGAACUACUGCGAAAGCAUUUGCCAAGGAUGUUUNCAUUGA
rnacentral:rRNA from 1 species